rnacentral:rRNA from 1 species
GGCCCGCACAAGCGGUGGAUUAUGUGGUUUAAUUCGAUGAUACGCGAGGAACCUUACCAAGACUUAAAUGGGAAUUGACAGUUUUAGAAAUAGAACUUUCUUCGGACAAUUUUCAAGGUGCUGCAUGGUUGUCGUCAGCUCGUGCCGUGAGGUGUUAGGUUAAGUCCUGCAACGAGCGCAACCCCUGUCACUAGUUGCCAUCAUUCAGUUGGGGACUCUAGUGAGACUGCCUACGCAAGUAGAGAGGAAGGUGGGGAUGACGUCAAAUCAUCACGGCCCUUACGUCUUGGGCCACACACGUAAUACAAUGGCCGGUACAGAGGGCAGCUACACAGCGAUGUGAUGCAAAUCUCGAAAGCCGGUCUCAGUUCGGAUUGGAGUCUGCAACUCGACUCUAUGAAGCUGGAAUCGCUAGUAAUCGCGCAUCAGCCAUGGCGCGGUGAAUACGUUCCCGGGCCUUGUACACACCGCCCGUCAAGCCAUGGAAGCUGGGGGUACCUGAAGUCGGUGACCGUAAAAGGAGCUGCCUAGGGUAAAACUAGUAACUAGGGCUAAGUCGUA